rnacentral:rRNA from 1 species
UUAUGGCUCAGGAUGAACGCUAGCGGCAGGCUUAACACAUGCAAGUCGAGGGGCAGCGGGAUGUAGCAAUACAUUGCCGGCGACCGGCGGAUGGGUGCGUAACGCGUAUGCAACCUACCUUAUACAGGGGAAUAACCUUUCGAAAGGGAGACUAACACCCCAUAGUAUUGAUUUAAGGCAUCUUAGAUUAAUUAAAUAUUUAUAGGUAUAAGAUGGGCAUGCGUAUGAUUAGCUAGUUGGUAAGGUAACGGCUUACCAAGGCGACGAUCAUUAGGGGUUCUGAGAGGAAGGUCCCCCACACUGGUACUGAGACACGGACCAGACUCCUACGGGAGGCAGCAGUGAGGAAUAUUGGUCAAUGGGCGCAAGCCUGAACCAGCCAUGCCGCGUGCAAGGAAGACGGCCUUAUGGGUUGUAAACUGCUUUUACAUAAGACUAACCGUAUAUUUGCGAAUAUACCUGAAUGUAUUAUGAGAAUAAGGAUCGGCUAACUCCGUGCCAGCCGCGGC